rnacentral:rRNA from 1 species
GACGGAGGAUGCAAGUGUUAUCCGGAAUCACUGGGCGUAAAGCGUCUGUAGGUUGUCGAACAAGUCAACUGUUAAAUCUUGAGGCUCAACUUCAAAAUCGCAUUCGAAACUACUAGACUAGAGUAUAGUAGAGGUAAAGGGAAUUUCCAGUGGAGCGGUGAAAUGCGUAGAUAUUGGAACGAACACCGAUGGCGAAAGCACUUUACUGGGCUAUUACUAACACUCAGAGACGAAAGCUAGGGUAGCAAAUGGG